rnacentral:lncRNA from 1 species
AGAAAUGCAUAGAAGAGAAAAUAAAAAUAAUUAGUUUGAUGAGAAGGAAGUCCUGAUCAAUCUAGAAAGCCUGAAGUAGGAUUGAGGUUCUAUUUCUGAUUUCAUUAAUAACGUUUGAGGACUAUGACAUCUGUUUUCUUUAUUUACUGAUUCUUAAUUUACCUCAUCAUUUCAUAAAUCUUUAUAUUAGCCCUGCCUUUUGGGAGGGUUCUCGUUUUCCUUCUGUCACUUUCAUAAGG